CUGACCUCGGAUCAGACGUGAUUACCCGCUGAACUUAAGCAUAUCACUAAGCGGAGGAAAAGAAACCUAACCAA
rnacentral:rRNA from 1 species